GUGGUAAUGCCGGAUGCUCCGGUUGGAUGCAUGUCCUUCCGGGAAAGAUUCUAUCGGUAUGGGAUGGGGUCGCGUCCUAUCAGCUUGAUGGCGGGGUAACGGCCCACCAUGGCUUCGACGGGUAGCCGGCCUGAGAGGGCGACCGGCCACAUUGGGACUGAGAUACGGCCCAGACUCCUACGGGAGGCAGCAGUGGGGAAUAUUGCACAAUGGGCGCAAGCCUGAUGCAGCGACGCCGCGUGCGGGAUGGAGGCCUUCGGGUUGUAAACCGCUUUUGAUCGGGAGCAAGCCCUUCGGGGUGAGUGUACCUUUCGAAUAAGCACCGGCUAACUACGUGCCAGCAGCCGCGGUAAUACGUAGGGUGCAAGCGUUAUCCGGAAUUAUUGGGCGUAAAGGGCUCGUAGGCGGUUCGUCGCGUCCGGUGUGAAAGCCCAUCGCUUAACGGUGGGUCUGCGCCGGGUACGGGCGGGCUGGAGUGCGGUAGGGGAGACUGGAAUUCCCGGUGUAACGGUGGAAUGUGUAGAUAUCGGG
rnacentral:rRNA from 1 species